GUUUUCAGUCUGUUUUAUUUGCUAACGUUUCAAUAAGUAUUUUUGGUUUUGUAUUUUGCUGCUGAUACAACCAUUUCUUUUUCUAUCAACACAGACCAGUUCCAUUUAAAAUACACCAGAUAGGGACACCUAGAACUAGUUUUACUUGAAUAUAUGUACAGUUAUGUAUACAUUAUAUACACAUAGGCAUUAUAUAUAUAUACAUAUAUAUAUAUACACAUAUAUAUAAGGCACUGCAAAAUGUACCAUCACUUCUCUGAGACUCUUUAAUUUGCAGAAGUAGAUCAUAUUUCUCAUGUAAUUUGAAAUGUCUAACCAAGGAAUCUUUCAAAUGUUUCAGGGUUAUACAGAUAUCAGCUAUGAAAUAAGCCUUACUUUAAAAUUCAAGUUAUUGUGACAAGAUGAACAAAACCUAUUUUGACAGUAACUCUAAUCCAUUUAUUAUAUAACUGCUUCUCUCUUAAAAUAUAGAUUCACCUGUAUAAAUAGUUUCCUUUGUCUCUCCUCAUUAUGUUCCAAAAUGUGAACUGAAACUCAUCCUGCAGAAUAAAAAAAAUAACAGUGAUGGAGAAUUGAAUACAAAUGUGGAUAAUUUAUCCAUUACUUAGAGAGAGGAAAGCCAAGACCUCUGUAAGCCAACAUGUCUUUAAAUAAGAUGUACUAAAACAGUUCAUGACCUUACAUAAAUCUGUUUGACUUAGUUAACAUCAAUUGAUUAAGUUUUUGGACACGUAAUAAGGUAACCUCUGCCUCUACGGCACACAGACACAAUUGGUAUUUAUAAUGAACAUGUUUGAAUGGGUUCUUGCUCAAUAUAAUUAGUCUACAUAGGCAAAUUACAGCAUCAGAAAUCCUGAAGCAGCUGCUGUUAGGAGAGUUGGCAAUCGUGUGAAUGACAAGCCAAUCUUACACAUCAAAUGGACGCAUUUCCAAAGAACAGAAACAGACGAAGAUAGAUAGAUGAGAAGUCAUACAUCUUUGGGAUGUAUAAAUCCAGAUAGCCUGGAUAGAACAUUGUUUUUCACACUACUCUGUAGCAACAAUUCCCAAUUGUGCCGGACCACAGGAUUCCUAUUGAGUCCCACAACUUUAACAACAGACACCAGGAAAAGCUUCAUGUCGUGUUGUCCCUGCACUACCCGCUGUGGCCUGAAAGCAUGAUCCAUUCGUCACAACUAGGAGGCACUUUUUAGAAGGUUCUUAUUUUCUACUCAAAGCACCUUGAAGAUGAGCACCUGCAAUCACUUGGUGUAAUAUUUUGACACCCGUGGGUUCUGCCCUGGAGCUGGCCUGCCCGGUUCAGCUGUUUCAGUUCACGUUUUGCAGAAGCAGAAAUGAAAAGGGGCAGCACCCCCCGAACCGACUCAGCACACGAGGCCACGUCAGGCAUAGCGCACCAGGGACACCGCACACUUUAAAAUACUGAAGUGACUCAAAGGUUUAAAAAUAUAUAUAUGUAUUACGAGAGCCACAAAAAAGGUUACAGACAGAGCUCCACAAAGCCUGCACGGAUACAUUCCAACAAUUCAAGGUGGCAGAAUAGGUGAAAUACAGAUCAUAGAAACGGUUCAGCAUUAACUUUCCAGACUGUCAGAGACAGCAACCUUAACCUCAUCUUCCCCACAUAAAAAUAAAAAUUGUAUAUAUAUAUUUAUAUAUAUAUAUCUAGUCUGGACCACAGAUACAGUCCAAAGAAAACCACAUUGCAAUUCCCACAUGAGGCUUGUAGAGUAGGCAUCCCCCGAGGAGCACCACGGCAGCGCCCACAGGGUGAUCAUCUCAGGCCAAGCUGAUGUGACAUUAUGCCUCGUUAGCAAUUUCAGAACAGCAACACAGCACAGUUCAUUUGCUGCACAUGGCUAUUAACACAGCUCUGUGCAGCCCUCAGAGCUUUAACCAAACUGCAAUUACAGCUGUCUUAAUUUUAAAAAGAAAAUGCAAAUGUAAGAUAUUUGGGCAGUUCCUGCUAUCACCUUUCUUUAAAAUUCAAGACUUGAGGACUUCUUUAAUGUGCUUCCUUACAGACACAGCGCUCAGACUGUCCUAAUGACCUCCAGGAAAAGAUGCCUCCCUGAGGCUUUUUCCCCUGUUACCUUCAGGUUACGUCUGCGUCCAGUUUUGACAUGGGGGCCAAAUGCUGGUUACAUGUCAGUGCAGUAUUUGGCCCAAAGUUCCAAAGUCUUUGCUAUUCACACUUUCCUAUGAGGUCAACAAACAAAGCAGUAAAAAAAGAAAAUAUUAAGGCUUCAAGUAAAAAUAUUUCCUCUCUCUCCCACCCAUGUAGUAAGGUACAUUUAAUUUCAUAAUGCUCAAUAUAUUAUACAAUUAACGAUACAGAGAUCCAACUGUUCAAGGCAGAUUGCACUACAAUGGAAACCUGGAGGCUAAAUGGGAGUGUAUGAACAGCUAAUGAAAUGCAAUAUGCGAUGAACAUUGAUGUAUAAACUAAACAAAAUCUAUUGCUGUUUUUUUUUUUUUUAAAAAAGUAAUACAAUCCACAGCUAAAAAUAAAAGCACACUGAAAAGCCUUAAGACUUCUGAACAUGAAAUAAACAUGACAAAACCAAGAAGCUACUUUAUAAUACGUGUUAACUUGUGCUGGAUUUUCAUAGCUGAACCCACCUACUGAAAAUCAGCAUCACUUACUUAGCUUCAGUGGAGCCACACCAGUUUACACCACCUGAAGAUUUGGCUGUAGUGUCUGUAAAAACUGAGGAUUUGGGCAGAAGAAGAACUUGGCUGUUAAUCUGUGAACUGUUUGAAGAAUAAUAUUUUAGCAAGGGGGGGGAUUCUGCUCCUAAAUCAGAUGCAGUAAGUAGGUCCCCAGUCCUGCAAUAGGAGCUACUGACACAGGUGCUUACAUUUAAGAGAACGGCUGUAGGUUCAGUGCCUUGGCUGGGAAGGAGGCUGGAUUUGCUGCAUGCAAUCUCCUGUUAACAGUUCUGCUCAGCUUAUUCUGCCAGAAGAUUUGAAUGAUUUACUCCAGGCUAUGAGCACUGAAUUAUAUGCAAACCUCAAAAGAAAAGAAAGAAGACAACUUUGGUACCAUUGUAAACCAGUUACCAUGUCCAAUGUGUCUUAACUGUGCCAAAACUACUCACAAAGUACAUAAUCCUUACAUCUGAGCCUGUAAAGACACAGUGCAGUCACCCUUUCCUCCCUUCUUCUUCCAAAAAGAACCCUGGAUAUUAGCGCUCUAUACAUACACCAUUGUGUUUAGUCUUACUGAGAAAUUCUUCUCCCAUGAACUAAUGUAGUUAAUUUCAGAGGCUCUUUGGCCCUUCAAGUUCCUCAGUAGCGUUUUACAAAUGCAGGAGAAAGAAUGAUCAGAGCAGAGCAUCACUGGGAUGCAAAUCUCAAAUACAACACUGGUGCAGAUUCUCAGCUUUGCUUGCACGUAUUUCACGCACAUAUUCAUAGGUACACAAUAAUAUGUGCCCUCAUCUAGAUGAUGAGCCCAAAUUCUGCAUCACCAUCCCCUCUUUCUGCCUUACGAGUGGCAGACGUGACAUUUAACAGACAGGUAAGUCUCACGUUAAUUCUGUGCACCAGACUGAAUUCCAGCCCUUGAGGAAGUCCUGCACCUUCCUGUGGAGCUAACGUCAGGGUAGGGUUGCAGAUCAGUAACAGUUAAAGAGGGCAGAAAUCUGAGGCUGCUGGGCGUAGCCCCUUGGCCCUGCAGCUUCACCUUGAACUGAACCUUCUUUCAUCACAUGUCUGAAUAAGGUCUGACCGUCUUCAGUCAGUAGUCUCCAGUAUUCUGCCUCGGAAGACCACUCCCCUUCCCUUUCCCUAUUGUCUCCUCCCUCUGAAUGUAGACAGGCCACUGGCUACUGGGAGCAACUCUGAUUUGCCUUUGGUUUUAUCUAUUUUAACUAACAUAUCUGUAAAAUCAUC
rnacentral:lncRNA from 1 species